rnacentral:rRNA from 1 species
UACAGAGGUCCCGAGCGUUGUUCGGAUUCAUUGGGCGUAAAGGGUGCGUAGGUGGCGCCGUAAGUGGGGUGUGAAAUCCCGGGGCUUAACCCCGGGACUGCAUUCCAUACUGCGGUGCUUGAGGACUGGAGAGGAGACUGGAAUUUACGGUGUAGCAGUGAAAUGCGUAGAUAUCGUAAGGAAGACCAGUGGCGAAGGCGAGUCUCUGGACAGCAACUGACGCUGAGGCACGAAGGCCAGGGGAGCGAAACGGG